GCUCCCAUGGCGUAGUGGUCACUACGCUCGCCUUGCACGCGGGAGACCCGGGUUCGAUUCCCGGCGGGGUCA
rfam:Asian citrus Psyllid, Diaphorina citri - Florida Strain, whole genome shotgun sequence.